rnacentral:rRNA from 1 species
UCUCAGUUCGGAUCGGAGUCUGCAACCCGACUCCGUGAAGCUGGAUUCGCUAGUAAUCGCGCAUCAGCCAUGGCGCGGUGAAUACGUUCCCGGGCCUUGUACACACCGCCCGUCAAGCCAUGGGAGGCCGGGGGGUGCUUGAAGUGCGUCGCCGCAAGGCGCGCCCUAGAGCAAAAACCGGUGACUGGGGCUAAGUCGUAACAAGGUACC